rnacentral:misc_RNA from 1 species
GGGACUCCUUUUUGGAAAGUGAAAAGUAGGUGAAUCUGGCAGUCAUCGGAUUCUGUCGCCGCCGGUGAAGAUGUCUUCCGGAAGAUACAUGGCCUACUCACCAUCUCCGUCUGCUCCUCAGUCUCCUCAUAUCGCCGGACUUCGCUCUGCUUCCUCUGCCAUCGCCGAGCAAGAGAAGUAUCUCUCAGAGUUACUUGCAGAACGCCACAAACUCGGCCCAUUUGUGCCCGUCCUUCCUCAUUGCUAUCGAUUGCUGAAUCAGGAUAUCAGGUUUAAUGCACUCCCCG